rnacentral:snoRNA from 1 species
AUGCAUCCAUUUGAAAGACCUGGAGCAUUUAGUGUCUGCUUCUAAGGUUUCCACUACAGAUGCAGGAAGAGAAGAUCAUUGUGCACAAUCUGUCUGAUCGUGGCAUCCAGGAUUGAGUGU